AACGAACGCUGGCGGCAUGCCUAACACAUGCAAGUCGAACGCCAUGGUUUCGGCCAUGGAGUGGCGCACGGGUGAGUAACGCGUGGGAACCUGCCCAGCAGUAUGGGACAACCGCGGGAAACUGCGGCUAAUACCGUAUACGCCCGUCUUUGGGAGACUAGGGGCGGGGAAAGAUUGAUCGCUGUUGGAGGGGCCCGCGUCGGAUUAGGUAGUUGGUGGGGUAAAGGCCUACCAAGCCUGCGAUCCGUAGCUGGUCUGAGAGGAUGAUCAGCCACACUGGGACUGAGACACGGCCCAGACUCCUGCGGGAGGCAGCAGUGGGGAAUAUUGGACAAUGGGCGCAAGCCUGAUCCAGCAAUGCCGCGUGAGUGAUGAAGGCCUUAGGGUUGUAAAGCUCUUUCACACGCGACGAUGAUGACGGUAGCGUGAGAAGAAGCCCCGGCUAACUCCGUGCCAGCCGCCGCCGUAAUAC
rnacentral:rRNA from 1 species